rnacentral:rRNA from 1 species
GACGAACGCUGGCGGCGUGCUUAACACAUGCCAGUCGAACGGAAAGGCCCUGCUUUUGUGGGGUGCUCGAGUGGCGAACGGGUGAGUAACACGUGAGUAACCUGCCCUUGACUUUGGGAUAACUUCAGGAAACUGGGGCUAAUACCGGAUAGGAGCUCCUGCUGCAUGGUGGGGGUUGGAAAGUUUCGGCGGUUGGGGAUGGACUCGCGGCUUAUCAGCUUGUUGGUGGGGUAGUGGCUUACCAAGGCAUUGACGGGUAGCCGGCCUGAGAGGGUGACCGGCCACAUUGGGACUGAGAUACGGCCCAGACGCCUACGGGAGGCAGCAGUGGGGAAUAUUGCACAAUGGGCGGAAGCCGGAUGCAGCAACGCCGCGUGCGGGAUGACGGCCUUCGGGUUGUAAACCGCUUUCGCCUGUGACGAAGCGUGAGUGACGGUAAUGGGUAAAGAAGCACCGGCUAACUACGUG